rnacentral:ncRNA from 2 species
GUUCGUCUUCAGGGCAGGGUGUAAUUCCCGACCGGCGGUGAUAGCCCGCGACCUACGUGUGUGCGUAGUUGAAUCCAGUGAAAUUCUGGGUGCCGACAGUAUAGUCUGGUAUAAAGAAGAUUUCC